UUUCCGAAAUGCGUUGAGGCGCAGCAGUUGACUCGACAUAUGGGCCAAAGCACUGUUUCGGUGCGGGCUACGCGAGCGGUACCAAAUCGAGGCAAACUCUGAAUACUAGAUAUAACCUAGAAAUAACAGGGGUCAAGGUCGGCCAGUGAGAAAAUGGGGGAUAAGCUUCAUCAUUGAGAGGGAAACAGCCUGGAUCACCAGCUAAGGCCCCUAAAUUACUGCUCGAUGAUAAAGGAGGUCGGGGUGCAAAGAGAGCCAGGAAGUUUGCCUAGAAGUAGCCACCCUUUAAAGAGUGCGUAAUAGCUCACUAAUCGAGCGCCCUUGCGCUGAAGAUGAACAGGGCUAAACGAUCUGCCGAAGUUGUGGGAUGUCAAAAUGCAUCGGUAGGGGA
rnacentral:ncRNA from 1 species